AUGCCCGGCGCGGCGGCCCACGCGGUGGAACCCCGCGGCACCGCGGCACCCCCUCCCCCCGUGGCCGCCGCGGCGACGGCUGCGGCGGCGCCGGCGGCAGCGGCGGCAGGGGGGCCGUCCGAGCCGGUGCGCAAGGCGGGCCCCGUGACCAUGGAGCACGUGCUGCUGGCGCUCCACGAGACGGAGGAGGAGCGGGAGGCGCGGAUCCGGGACAUGUUCGACUUCUUCGACACGUCCGGGAGGGGCCAGCUCGACUACGCGCAGAUCGAGGCCGGCCUCGCCGCGCUGCAGGUCCCCGCCGAGUGCAAGUACGCGCGGGAGCUGCUCCGCGCCUGCGACCGCGACCGCGACGGCCGCGUCGGCUACGACGACUUCAGGCGCUACAUGGACGACAAGGAGCUCGAGCUCUACCGCAUCUUCCAGGCCAUCGACGUCGAGCACAACGGCUGCAUCCUCCCCGAGGAGCUCUGGGACGCCCUCGUCAAGGCUGGUAUAGAGAUUGAUGAUGAGGAGCUUGCACGAUUUGUUGAGCAUGUGGACAAGGACAACAAUGGAAUUAUUACUUUUGAAGAAUGGAGGGAUUUUCUUAUGCUUUAUCCCAAUGAAGCAACAAUCGAGAACAUUUAUCAUCACUGGGAAAGAGUUUGCCUUGUAGAUAUAGGUGAACAGGCUGCUAUACCAGAAGGCUUAAGUAAGCAUGUCAGCGCAAGUAAAUAUCUGAUUGCAGGAGGCAUUGCUGGCGCAGCAUCUCGUACUGCAACGGCACCUCUUGAUCGUCUUAAAGUGAUCAUGCAAGUGCAAACAACGCGUACUACCGUCACACAUGCAGUUAAGGAUAUAUUUAUCCGGGGUGGUCUAUUGGGAUUUUUUAGAGGUAACGGUUUGAAUGUUGUAAAAGUUGCUCCAGAAAGUGCAAUAAGGUUUUAUGCGUACGAGACAUUGAAAGAGUAUAUAAUGAACAGCAAAGGAGAAAACAAGAGUGCAGUUGGUGCUUCUGAACGCCUCGUUGCUGGUGGUUUGGCUGGUGCAAUAGCACAAACAGCAAUUUAUCCCAUAGAUUUAGUAAAGACGAGGCUGCAGACUUUCUCUUGCGAGAGUGGUAAAGUUCCUAGUCUUGGUACAUUAUCAAGGGAUAUAUUGAAGCAUGAAGGGCCUCGAGCAUUCUAUAGAGGUCUUGUUCCAUCUUUGCUUGGUAUUGUCCCUUAUGCUGGAAUUGAUCUUGCUGUAUAUGAGACUUUGAAAGAUGCCUCCAGGACAUAUAUCAUAAAGGACACCGAACCUGGUCCUCUGGUACAAUUGGGUUGUGGCACUGUCUCUGGAGCUCUGGGAGCAACAUGUGUUUACCCUUUACAGGUUAUUAGAACAAGACUGCAAGCUCAACAAGCCAAUUCAGAGGCUGCAUAUAAAGGAAUGUCUGAUGUGUUCUGGAGAACCCUACGGCACGAAGGCGUUUCUGGAUUCUACAAAGGAAUCCUACCGAAUCUCCUUAAAGUGGUGCCUGCUGCAAGUAUUACCUAUCUAGUUUAUGAGGCGAUGAAGAAAAAUCUGUCUCUUGAUUAA
rnacentral:rRNA from 1 species